rnacentral:rRNA from 1 species
CCUACGGGUGGCAGCAGUGAGGAAUAUUGGUCAAUGGGCGCGAGCCUGAACCAGCCAAGUAGCGUGAAGGAUGACUGCCCUAUGGGUUGUAAACUUCUUUUAUAAAGGAAUAAAGUGCGGCACGUGUGCCGUUUUGCAUGUACCUUAUGAAUAAGGAUCGGCUAACUCCGUGCCAGCAGCCGCGGUAAUACGGAGGAUCCGAGCGUUAUCCGGAUUUAUUGGGUUUAAAGGGAGCGUAGGCGGGUUGUUAAGUCAGUUGUGAAAGUUUGCGGCUCAACCGUAAAAUUGCAUUUGAUACUGGCAGCCUUGAGUACAGUAGAGGUAGGCGGAAUGCGUGGUGUAGCGGUGAAAUGCUUAGAUAUCACGAAGAACUCCGAUUGCGAAGGCAGCCUACUGGAGUGCAACUGACGCUGAUGCUCGAAAGUGUGGGUAUCAAACAGGAUUAGAUACCCGGGUAGUC